UGCUGUCCAGCUUUUGCAGCUAAGGGCUGUGAAGUCUUUUCUAGAACACAGUCUUGCAUUCUUCCCAGACUUGCUGUGGAAAAGGCAUUUCAUUCUCCUUUCAAACAUC
rnacentral:pre_miRNA from 7 species